UUCACUAGGUCUCUAGACAGCUACAGGGUGGCAUCCCACACUGUCCUUGGACUUCUUCCAAUCCUGCAACCAAUUUACUGCCCCAGUGCCCAGGUGCUUUCAUCUCUAAGGCAGGAAAUGAUGAGAUACCGAUUGUUCAGUCAUCAAUGUAACCAAAGCAAACAUCUGGCCUCUCUAUCUCUCAGGCAGCUGGGAGCACAUUUGUCAAACUGUAUCCCAAACAAACUGUAACUUUUUCCUUUACUGAAACUUCUACAUUCUGGUUCUUUUACUUUUUAAAGAAACAUAAAAGUGUUUUUUUAACAAGAUAAAAAUAUAUACUUCAGAAUUUAACUCUCCACCCACAUGUAGGAAUGGGUAUUUUGGUCCUGCAGAAUGAAAAUCUCGAAUCAUACCAAUACAGGAGACUUCAAACACUGUACACCCCUCUGGGCUGCUUGAUGACGCUUUCUUGCCUCUAUCCUCAAGGUCUCUCAACUCCCAGUAAACAAGAUCAUUGAAAGAACUAACCUGCAGAAAAGGCUGCUGCCCUUCAAACUGUGUACUGUUGUCUAAGCUAGUUCAGAAGAAUACACGAGCUUCCUUCACAUACUCCAAUCUGUUGGUUUGACUUCUGAAGAACCAGCAGAGUUGGAAAGGCCUCGAGAUCUCUGUCCUGGUGCUGGCCUGGGGCUCCCCUAGGUCUCGCCUGAAAGUGUCCCAUUCACCACCAGUCUUCUACAAUGUUAUCCGGAAUGGAACGAAGUACUACACCCACAAGUCCUGAAGGUACUGACCAAAACAGGAGGGAGAGACGGGACCGGGGCUGCUGUGACUGGAGGCUGAUGGGGCUCCACCGUGCCCCAUCCUCUCAUCCCACAGUCUUCCUUCACAUCUGCUCUGCCCACCACAGCCCUGCUCUGGAGUUCUCUGCUCUGCCACUUCUGCCAUCCCCACCUAGGCAGACAGGUUUCAUCCAGCCUCCAGGACGGCCCACCCACUUGCUCCUGCAGCAGGCUGCUCUUCCCAGGUGCACAGCCCAGAGAAUUAAGUGCAUAUAUUUACCAGAAGACAUGACCAAAGCCAUUCCUGGGGUUGCCUUCAUGUAGCCAACAUCUGGAACUAACACCAAAGUUCAUUAGGCACAAAAUAAAAGAGUUAUCUGGAA
rnacentral:lncRNA from 1 species